ensembl:snRNA U6 U6 spliceosomal RNA
GUGCUUGCUUCGGCAGCACAUAUACUAAAAUUGGAAUGAUACAGAGAAGAUUAGCAUGGCCCAUGUGCAAGAAUAAUACACAAAUUCGUGAAGCAUUCCAUAUUUUU